rnacentral:rRNA from 1 species
AAAUUAAUCUCCCCGUGAAGAAGCGGGGAUACUCAUAUAAGACGAGAAGACCCCAUGGAGCUUCAAACCCAACUACACCCCUAGCUCUUAUAGCCCCACAACCCCCCUAGGCGCCGUGUGCUUGGUUUUAGGUUGGGGCGACCGCGGAGUACAAUAAAACCUCCACAAUGAAUGGGAACACCCCCUUAUCUGAGGGCCACACCCCCUAAGAAUUAGAACACUAACAUAAAAUGAUCCAUUACUUGAUCAAUGAACCAAGUUACCCUGGGGAUAACAGCGCAAUCCAUUUCAAGAGCCCCUAUCGACAAAUGGGUUUACGACCUC